CGCAUGUAAUUUUAAAAACCAACACAUUUUCUGUGUUGUGAGUUACUGGUUUUUUGUGAGUCCUGUAUGUAUUUUUAUAUGGAAAAAUCAAUAACUCAAGCAAAACAUAGAAACUGAAAAUGUGUCACUUUUCAAAAUUCCGUGCGUGCGCAAAAAAGAUUUUUACAAAG